rnacentral:rRNA from 1 species
GUGGGGAAUCUUCCGCAAUGGACGAAAGUCUGACGGAGCAACGCCGCGUGAGUGAUGAAGGUCUUCGGAUUGUAAAGCUCUGUUAAUCGGGACGAAAGAGCCUAGUGUGAAUAAUGCUAGGAAGUGACGGUACCGGAAUAGAAAGCCACGGCUAACUACGUGCCAGCAGCCGCGGUAAUACGUAGGUGGCAAGCGUUGUCCGGAAUUAUUGGGCGUAAAGCGCGCGCAGGAGGAUCUGCCAGGCGGUCUUAAAAGUUCGGGGCUUAACCCCGUGAUGGGAUGGAAACUACAGAUCUAGAGUAUCGGAGAGGAAAGUGGAAUUCCUAGUGUAGCGGUGAAAUGCGUAGAUAUUAGGAAGAACACCAGUGGCGAAGGCGACUUUCUGGACGAAAACUGACGCUGAGGCGCGAAAGCCAGGGGAGCGAACGGGAUUAGAUACCCCAGUAGUCC